AUAUCACCAAAUUGGUACUUAGCUCAUUCACUUCCUUGAUUUGUCCUUCAGACCAUCUUUUGGAUAAUUGCACUUUGGUCCCUAAACUUUUACUUUGAGUCAUUUUAGUCCUUUUUCGCGUCUUUUCUCCUGAAUUUCAUCAUGUUUAUCGAUGUUCCCUACAAUUCACAAAUGUAACAAAAUUAAGUCACAAUUCAAUCAUUUUGCUCGUAAUUAAGUCAUGUUUGUGACCUAGAUAAGUGUGCAAAAACACACUUAUCAAACCCCCCAAACUUGAACUAUUAUUUGUCCUCAAACAAGAUAGUGACUUAAUUCUGAACAAACAAGACUUAAUACCCUACUGUGGCUCAGGAUUGGACUAAGUAUUUGAUUUUAUGAAAAUUUAUCAGUGCAAAAAUGACAUCAACCUUUACCUGUUAAAUGCGUACUUGACGUGUGUGUGAAUUCAUGCCAACAUAUUAGGUUCAUGAUGAAUUUGAGUCCCGACCCCAAGUGGUCAAACGUAUCCUUACUCGCUCGAGAGAUACACAAUCCCCCAAAUU
rnacentral:lncRNA from 1 species